GAUCAUGGCUCAGAUUGAACGCUGGCGGCAGGCUUAACACAUGCAAGUCGAACGGUAACAUAAAGAAGCUUUGCUUCUUUGAUGACGAGUGGCGGACGGGUGAGUAAUGCUUGGGAAUCUAGCUUAUGGAGGGGGGAUAACUACGGGAAACUGUAGCUAAUACCGCGUAAUAUCGAAAGAUUAAAGUGUGGGACCUUCGGGCCACAUGCCAUAGGAUGAGCCCAAGUGGGAUUAGGUAGUUGGUGG
rnacentral:rRNA from 1 species